rnacentral:lncRNA from 1 species
AUCUGUCCUGAGCUCCAAUUCCUGCUCCUGGGCAGGGAACGGUCACACUCACUCCAUUCCACGCCAUAGUGAUUGCUUCAGGUAUUGGGCAGGUGCCCCUUGGUGGGGGCCUGACAGCUGCCCUACCACCUUCAACUCUUUGGGGGUUCACAGUGCACAUGGAUGCCCUGACCGAAAUUCCUCGCCCUAAACCUCUCUCUAGCUCCAGACAGAGCCACGGGAAGCCUGGGAAUCAUCUGCAUGCUCAGUGGUCCCUAAAGCCUCAGGACUCCCCAGUUACUGCAGCCUGUGCAUGCCCACUCAGAAACAACAGGAAAUACUGCUGAGCACAGCUUCCUACCCAGCACGACGUGUGCUGCCCAGGCGAUAAUGGCUCUGCAAAAGGAGGCUCUGAAGAGACCUGGCAUAAUGGGAUCACGAGCAGUGCGAGGAAGCAAUGGUUUCAAAGCACCAUCCACCCAAAAAAACCCACACCAGGGAAAGGGCUGAAGUGGGACAGUCCCAGUGCUUCCCACCAGGGAGAGAGAACGGAGUAGCACUUACCCCAGGACAGGAGCAGCAGGGUAAGGAAGGUGAGCAGCACGUAGCAGAGGGUGAGCGCCAUGCCCUGCCGGCAGCGGAGACAGGAGGCAGCCCCUUGUUUUUCACCUCGCAGAGGUACCGCCCGCACAGUGCGCGCGCAGAACGGUGUGAAACAGCUCCACCGAUAACUGUCAGCACGAGCCGGCCUCGUCCUGCAGCAUGGCUUUGUCCCACCGGGGUCACAUCGCUGCUUGAGACCGUAUCCAGGGGGCAGGAGGCUGCAGGCACCGCCGUGCUGGGGUCUGCUCAAUGGCAUGGGGUCACUCCAGGCCUCUCCGCUAAAGAGGAGCCCCGGUUUGUUCCCAGCUCCGUUCAGAAGUGGGAGAAAAGCCUGUGAGCAGGAGGCCAUGGCCCCUGGGGGGCAGAGGGCAACGCUCCUUCACAAUGCUUCACCAUCUGCUCCAGCUUCCCACCAAGCUGCCUCCUGCACAAGGCUGAGGCCACAGGACAGGGCACAGGACAGGGGUGCCAAUGCUGGGGCAAGGGGGCAAUUUCCUUUUAAUAAGAAGCUUUUUAAUUACAGGAAUAUGCUCUCUGUGCUUGUUCUGCUUACUCCAGGGACUCUCCCGACACACGCUGCGCUC